rnacentral:rRNA from 1 species
CGUGAGGGAAAGUUGAAAAGAACUUUGAAGAGAGAGUUCAAGAGUACGUGAAACCGUUAAGAGCCAAACGGGUGGGACCUCGAAGGUCGAACCGAGGGGAUUCAGCUCGUCGGCCAAAGCCGGCUGGACGUUGGGAUUCGCUUAUGCGACCCAGGAACUCUUGGGCGUGCCCACGUUCAAGCCGGCGCCGGCGGGCGUAUUUCCCCUCGUGAUGUAGGUCGCCGCGACCCGUUGCUGGGGACGUCUAAGGCCCGGGCGGACUGGUACCCC